rnacentral:rRNA from 1 species
AUGGAUCUAAUUCUCCCGUUCAAAGUUGGAGAUCUUGCCGAGUCAAAGUCUUUUGUUAAGGGUUACACAGGUGCAUGGUUCCGCUCCAAGAUUAUUGAUAUGCGUGUCACAGAAUCUGGGCACCUUGAGUAUUACUUGGAGUAUAUUGACUAUACUGAAGAAGAGAAUGAAUGGAUCAGAGUCUUUCAAAAGAACCCACUCAGCCCAGCAUGCGGGGAAGGGAAAUCAAGUGAGAGUACUGAAAUAAUGUUGCGUCCUGCCUUUCCUCAUUGGUAUAGGGGGGGACAAGUUCCUGCGCACUUUCCAAAGAAUGAGCUUGUUGCAAGUGUUUGUGAUACCUGGAAAGUAGGUGACAAGGUUGACUGGCGGUGUUCAGAUUGUUACUGGACUGCGGAAAUUAUUAGGUUGAACAGUAGAGAUGUGGUUCAGGUAAUGCUGUUGGAUCCUCCCAUGGGUGAAGGCGGGCAACAUCCUGCUAAGAAAAAGGACCUGAGGCCUGCACUUGAUUGGUCCAUCAUUAAAGGUUGGACUGUACCUGUUUCGGUGGCAAAAGGGAAAUACUGGCAAGCUGCUCGUCUGGUUCAUCCUAAAUCUGAUAUAGAAGACAGCAUCACAGAUGAAGAUGAAGCCCCGGGAUCUCCAACCGUCAAAAGACCCUCAUCGGACACAAGCAGCAUAUCUAAGCUAAGCAAUCGGAGCGACACCAUCCUGGCGUCCACCGAAAAGUUGGGGCAGGCACAUGAAUCAUCAGACCCCAGUCGACGGAGUACCCGCAGUUCCAGUAAGCGACAGAUAUCUCCUGCCACUGUCAAAGGAGCUGCUAUGGCAGAACCGAACGGGCCCUCUAAUGGAAACGGUUCCCACCGCCGGUACCCCUUUCGGGUCCGAAGGAACGCAGCAGGGCAGCAGAGAUAA